rnacentral:lncRNA from 1 species
GUUACAAUUUUGAGAAGGAGUCUGUGAAAAAUUAUUCUACAGAUUUAUUUUUGUUCUCUCAUAGUUUCUCUGAAAAACUUGAUCAGGGAGGAGGAAAGGGUGAUCCUGGUUCACUGGACCUGUCAGAUCUGAAUCCUUAGCUGGAAAAGGGACGGAUUCCCUGCGUCUCCUCCAGCAGUUUGCCACAGUAAAAUCAGAUCCAUGUGGGGAAUGGAGGGGAAGGAGAAUCGUAAAAGGCCAAGUGAAGUCUGAGGGCCAGAGGACGCAGGGGAAGGGAGUCUAUAGACCCACACGUCUGCUUGUUUAUUAUAAAGUCAUCCACGACAUGCCUCUGACAUGCCAGGCCUCGUACACAGUCCCAGGAUGCAGUGUGAACCACGGCAAAGCCCUCCACUCCCCAGGACAGUCCUUAAGUCUCGAAGACAGACAUGCAGGUAGACACAUCU